rnacentral:rRNA from 1 species
ACGCUGGCGGCAGGCUUAACACAUGCAAGUCGAACGGUAGCAGGAGAAAGCAUGCUUUCUUGCUGACGAGUGGCGGACGGGUGAGUAAUGCUUGGGAAUCUGGCUUAUGGAGGGGGAUAACUACGGGAAACUGUAGCUAAUACCGCGUAGUGUCGAGAGACGAAAGUGCGGGACCGCAAGGCCGCAUGCCAUGAGAUGAGCCCAAGUGGGAUUAGGUAGUUGGUGGGGUAAAGGCCUACCAAGCCUGCGAUCUCUAGCUGGUCUGAGAGGAUGGCCAGCCACACUGGAACUGAGACACGGUCCAGACUCCUACGGGAGGCAGCAGUGGGGAAUAUUGCGCAAUGGGGGGAACCCUGACGCAGCCAUGCCGCGUGAAUGAAGAAGGCCUUCGGGUUGUAAAGUUCUUUCGGUAUUGAGGAAGGUUGAUGUGUUAAUAGUACAUCAAAUUGACGUUAAAUACAGAAGAAGCACCGGCUAACUCCGUGCCAGCAGCCGCGGUAAUACGGAGGGUGCGAGCGUUAAUCGGAAUAACUGGGCGUAAAGGGCACGCAGGCGGUUAUUUAAGUGAGGUGUGAAAGCCCCUGGCUUAACCUGGGAAUUGCAUUUCAGACUGGGUAACUAGAGUACUUUAGGGAGGGGUAGAAUUCCACGUGUAGCGGUGAAAUGCGUAGAGAUGUGGAGGAAUACCGAAGGCGAAGGCAGCCCCUUGGGAAUGUACUGACGCUCAUGUGCGAAAGCGUGGGGAGCAAACAGGAUUAGAUACCCUGGUAGUCCACGCUGUAAACGCUGUCGAUUUGGGGAUUGGGCUUAAAGCUGGUGCCCGUAGCUAACGUGAUAAAUCGACCGCCUGGGGAGUACGGCCGCAAGGUUAAAACUCAAAUGAAUUGACGGGGGCCCGCACAAGCG